CCUACGGGAGGCAGCAGUGGGGAAUAUUGGACAAUGGGCGAAAGCCUGAUCCAGCCAUGCCGCGUGUGUGAAGAAGGCCUUCGGGUUGUAAAGCACUUUCAGUGGGGAAGAAAGCCUUGGGGCUAAUACCCUCGAGGAAGGACAUCACCCACAGAAGAAGCACCGGCUAACUCCGUGCCAGCAGCCGCGGUAAUACGGAGGGUGCGAGCGUUAAUCGGAAUUACUGGGCGUAAAGCGCGCGUAGGCGGUCUGAUAAGCCGGUUGUGAAAGCCCCGGGCUCAACCUGGGAACGGCAUCCGGAACGGUCAGGCUAGAGUGCAGGAGAGGAAGGUAGAAUUCCCGAUGUAGCGGUGAAAUGCGUAGAGAUCGGGAGGAAUACCAGUGGCGAAGGCGGCCUUCUGGACUGACACUGACGCUGAGGUGCGAAAGCGUGGGUAGCAAACAGGAUUAGAUACCCUAGUAGUC
rnacentral:rRNA from 1 species